AAAGUAGUGUUGAAAUAAUCAUAUGAUCUUGUCAAGAUCAAAUUGCAGAAAUGCCUACUUUU
rnacentral:tRNA from 1 species